CCUGGCUUCAUAAGGAUAAAAUCUGGAAUGUUUUGAGAAGUAAGGAGAUGGAUCAUCCUUUGGGGAUGCCUAUGAAAAUAUCAUCAUUAAAAAAUAAGUUAUGAUAAAGAGUUUGAGGUAACUUUCUGAGAAAUACCUUGGAAUCAGUUGUUCUUUUCUGAUGAUCAUUAAGUAACUAGAGGGAGGCAGUUUUGACAUAUUCUGGGUAAAGAAAGAAACCUGACCAAGUCCCAUGCCUGAUAAGAUGGCCAUAUCAUCCCAGGAAGAAGAGGUCAUGGAGGAUAUGGAGUCAGGGCCAAUGAAGGGGCAGUGCCAUCCAGACCACAGCUUUAUUCCCUGGAGGGCAACACGGCUGUUUCUGAUGCAAGUAGUUCUGGACACUUUUUGAGAAACUCUACCCAUGUGAGAAAUGACAGUGGUGAUGACCAGGGCAGCAUCCAUGGGCCAGGUAAUGGUGGGAUAUUCAUAAGGCACCUUGUUUAUUUGAAACCUUUUCCCUGCCUACUUGUUCCUCCCUCAUUUCUUGUUCUCCUUGUCUUCAAUCCAAGUCCC
rnacentral:lncRNA from 1 species